rnacentral:SRP_RNA from 1 species
ACCGGCACUGGUGGCGUGGUGCUGUAAUCCAGCUGCAUUGGAGGUCUGGGCUGUUGGACGGCACGUAGGUGUAGCGUUGUCCUCUACCCCUCCAUGUUGAAAUUCCUUCGUGUUGAGCGGGCGCAUCGCACUGAAUUGUUGCAGGUAUGGCCGUGAAUCCCGGGUCGGCCAGGCCCAACCAGUAGACAGGUAGCGCUUGUGAGUAGUUGGGCAGCUCAACCACGAAAGUCGAACGCAGUCCUUU